AGAAGUUUAGGAUAAACCAAGUCCAAGAGCCUUCAAAGCCCUAAGUAAACCCUCAGAGUUUAACUUCUG
rnacentral:tRNA from 1 species